rnacentral:rRNA from 1 species
AAAUUGAAGAGUUUGAUCAUGGCUCAGAUUGAACGCUGGCGGCAGGCCUAACACAUGCAAGUCGAGCGGUAGCACAGAGAGCUUGCUCUCGGGUGACGAGCGGCGGACGGGUGAGUAAUGUCUGGGAAACUGCCUGAUGGAGGGGGAUAACUACUGGAAACGGUAGCUAAUACCGCAUAAUGUCGCAAGACCAAAGUGGGGGACCUUCGGGCCUCAUGCCAUCAGAUGUGCCCAGAUGGGAUUAGCUAGUAGGUGGGGUAACGGCUCACCU